UACAGAGGGUGCAAGCGUUAAUCGGAAUUACUGGGCGUAAAGCGCGCGUAGGCGGUUGCGUAAGUUGGAGGUGAAAUCCCCGGGCUCAACCUGGGAAUUGCCUUCAAAACUGCGCGGCUAGAGUGUGGGAGAGGAAGGUAGAAUUCCAGGUGUAGCGGUGAAAUGCGUAGAGAUCUGGAGGAAUACCGAUGGCGAAGGCAGCCUUCUGGCCUAACACUGACGCUGAGGUGCGAAAGCAUGGGGAG
rnacentral:rRNA from 1 species